rnacentral:rRNA from 1 species
GACGAACGCUGGCGGCGUGCUUAACACAUGCAAGUCGAACGGAAAGGCCCUGCUUUUGUGGUGUGCUCGAGUGGCGAACGGGUGAGUAACACGUGAGUAACCUGCCCUUGACUUUGGGAUAACUUCAGGAAACUGGGGCUAAUACCGGAUAGGAGCUCCUGCUUCAUGGUGGGGGUUGGAAAGUUUCGGCGGUUGGGGAUGGACUCGCGGCUUAUCAGCUUGUUGGUGGGGUAGUGGCUUACCAAGGCUUUGACGGGUAGCCGGCCUGAGAGGGUGACCGGCAACAUUGGGACUGAGAUACGGCCCAGACUCCUACGGGAGGCAGCAGUGGGGAAUAUUGCACAAUGGGCGGAAGCCGGAUGCAGCAACGCCGCGUGCGGGAUGACGGCCUUCGGGUUGUAAACCGCUUUCGCAUGUGACGAAGCGUGAGUGACGGUAAUGGGUAAAGAAGCACCGGCUAACUACGUG